AGUGAACGCUGGCGGUAGGCCUAACACAUGCAAGUCGAACGGCAGCACAGUAAGAGCUUGCUCUUACGGGUGGCGAGUGGCGGACGGGUGAGGAAUACAUCGGAAUCUACUUUUUCGUGGGGGAUAACGGAGGGAAACUUACGCUAAUACCGCAUACGACCUACGGGUGAAAGCAGGGGAUCUUCGGACCUUGCGCGAUUGAAUGAGCCGAUGGCGGAUUAGCUAGUUGGCGGGGUAAAGGCCCACCAAGGCGACGAUCCGUAGCUGGUCUGAGAGGAUGAUCAGCCACACUGGAACUGAGACACGGUCCAGACUCCUACGGGAGGCAGCAGUGGGGAAUAUUGGACAAUGGGCGAAAGCCUGAUCCAGCCAUACCGCGUGGGUGAAGAAGGCCUUCGGGUUGUAAAGCCCUUUUGUUGGGAAAGAAAAGCAGCAGGUUAAUACCCCGCUGUUCUGACGGUACCCAAAGAAUAAGCACCGGCUAACUUCGUG
rnacentral:rRNA from 1 species